rnacentral:rRNA from 1 species
AACGACUCUCGGCAACGGAUAUCUAGGCUCUCGCAUCGAUGAAGAACGUAGCGAAAUGCGAUACUUGGUGUGAAUUGCAGAAUCCCGCGAAUCAUCGAGUUUUUGAACGCAAGUUGCGCCCGAAGCCAUUCGGCCGAGGGCACGUCUGCCUGGUUGUCACG